AGCCCUGUGGUGUUUACACGCCAGGUUGCAAACCUGGAAUUGAGACGUAGAGAUCUCCGGGGCUU
rnacentral:tRNA from 1 species